ensembl:snoRNA U3 Small nucleolar RNA U3
AAGUUAUACUUUCAGGAAUCAUUUCUUUAGUUGGUGACUGGAGCAGGGUGGUUGCAAAAGCCUGGCCUUGCUAACCAUGAUGAAGAACUAUAGUGUUUCUUUCUGAGCAUGACAAUGGCUGAGAGUGCUGUUCUGUAGUAGCUACUUUCUGCUGUGGAAGAGUGUCUUGUUCUUCCUGAAAAGAGCAGGUGAAAGGAACACAGUCUGAGUGGU